rnacentral:rRNA from 1 species
UCGAGAAUCUUCGGCAAUGAGCGCAAGCUUGACCGAGCGACGCCGCGUGCGGGAUGAAGGCCUUCGGGUUGUAAACCGCUUUCGGUUGGGAGGAAAUCGCUAGGGGUUCUCCCCUAGUGUUGACCUAUCUUCGGAAGAAGGACGGGCUAAGUUCGUGCCAGCAGCCGCGGUAAUACGAACCGUCCAAACGUUAUUCGGAUUCAUUGGGCUUAAAGGGUACGUAGGCGUCGCUUCAAGUCGGGUGUGAAAUCCCUCGGCUCAACCGAGGAACUGCGCCCGAUACUGGAGUGCUUGAGGGAGACAGAGGUAAGCGGAACUGAUGGUGGAGCGGUGAAAUGCGUUGAUAUCAUCAGGAACACCAGUGGCGAAAGCGGCUUACUGGGUCUCUUCUGACGCUGAGGUACGAAAGCUAGGGGAGCGAACGGGAUUAGAUACCCCGGUAGUCCGUAGCUGUAAACGUUGAGCACUUGAUUGAGGAUCCCCCCAUAGGUUCUCGGUCGAAGCG